GGUAUGAUUGCCAAUGAGACAACUAUCCACAAAAGACCAAAAUGACACAGACAUUAAGAAUUAUAGGUCACCGCACGGCCUUCAACAAUGAGCAAAGCCCAUACCGCAUAGUGAGCUAUAAAAGGCCCCAAUAAGACAAUGUAAAACAAUUCAAACGAGAAAACUAACGGCCUUAUUUAUGUAAAAAAAAAAAAUGAACGAAAAACAAAUAUGUAACACAUAAACAAACGACAACCACUGAAUUACAAGGCUUUUUGACUAUCAAUGUUGACCCCCCCCCCCUUCCAAUUGAUUGGAUAAAAUGAAUGGAUUGCCGCC
rnacentral:lncRNA from 1 species